UGUUUGAUCUUGUGUUUUCUCUGAAAAUACUUUUAUCUUUUUUUGUAUUUUUCAGAGAAAAUUGUAGAGAAACUCUUGUGUGAGUUUGCUCUGUUGGAAGAUUGUGUUGCAUUCGUGGUUUAAGAACUUUGUAUUCUGUAACUUGAUUUUUGCGUAUUUUGGUCGUAUAGUGAAUUCGAGCUUAAUCCUUUACGGAUGUUCAACGGGGGACUAAGCAUUAGAAGCGGUCGUUGAACCUUUGAACCUUUGGCCGAAAAAUCUCUUGUGUUCC
rnacentral:lncRNA from 1 species